rnacentral:rRNA from 1 species
CCUACGGGUGGCUGCAGUGGGGAAUUUUGGACAAUGGGGGCAACCCUGAUCCAGCCAUGCCGCGUGCGGGAAGAAGGCCUUCGGGUUGUAAACCGCUUUUGUCGGGGAAGAAAUCCUCUGGGCUAAUACCUCGGGGGCAUGACGGUCCCCGGAGAAUAAGCACCGGCUAACUACGUGCCAGCAGCCGCGGUAAUACGUAGGGUGCAAGCGUUAAUCGAAGUUAGUGGGCGUAAACCGUGAACAGGGGGUCGAAAGCCCCGGGCUCAACCUGGGAACUGCAUUUGUGACUGCAAGGCUGGAGUGCGGCAGAGGGGGAUGGAAUUCCGCGUGUAGCAGUGAAAUGCGUAGAUAUGCGGAGGAACACCGAUGGCGAAGGCAAUCCCCUGGGCCUGCACUGACGCUCAUGCACGAAAGCGUGGGGAGCAAACAGGAUUAGAUACCCCUGUAGUC